GAUGCGUGCUGGGGGAGCCGAAAGGCUGAGAGGAAGCUUAAAUGCUUCGACCCCUCGAACCUGACCGGGAUAAUCCCCGCGUAGGGAAGCACAGAACCGAAAAU
rnacentral:ncRNA from 2 species